AGGCUUCCUUAGUCCUGACCUACGAUGAUGACGUAGGCAGCUAAAGCAAGCCUUC
rnacentral:pre_miRNA from 1 species